rnacentral:rRNA from 1 species
GCAUAUCAUGAGCGGAGGAAAAGAAACCAACAGGGAUUGCCCCCAGUAACGGCGAAGUGAAGCGGCAACAGCUUCAAAUUUGAAAUCUGGCCCCAGGCCCGAGUUUGUAAUUUGCAGAGGAUGCUUUUGGCGCGGUGCCUUCCGAGUUCCCUGGAACGGGACGCCAUAGAGGGUGAGAGCCCCGUACGGUUGGACACCAAGCCUUUGUAAAGCUCCUUCGACGAGUCGAGUAGUUUGGGAAUGCUGCUCUAAAUGGGAGGUACAUUUCUUCUAAAGCUAAAUAUUGGCCAGAGACCGAUAGCGCACAAGUAGAGUGAUCGAAAGAUGAAAAGCACUUUGAAAAGAGGGUUAAACAGCACGUGAAAUUGUUAAAAGGGAAGCGCUUGUGACCAGACUUGCGUCCGGUGAAUCACCCAGCUCUCGCGGCUGGGGCACUUCGCCGGCACAGGCCAGCAUCAGCUUGCCGUCGGGGACAAAAGCUUCAGGAACGUGGCUCCUCUCGGGGAGUGUUAUAGCCUGUUGCAUAAUACCCUUCGGCGGGCUGAGGUACGCGCUCCGCAAGGAUGCUGGCGUAAUGGUCAUCAGCGACCCGUCUUGAAACACGGACCAAGGAGUCAACCUUAUGUGCGAGUGUUUGGGUGUCAAACCCCUACGCGUAAUGAAAGUGAACGCAGGUGAGAGCUUCGGCGCAUCAUCGACCGAUCCUGAUGUUCUCGGAUGGAUUUGAGUAAGAGCAUAUAGGGUUGGACCCGAAAGAAGGUGAACUAUGCGUGUGUAGGGUGAAGCCAGAGGAAACUCUGGUGGAGGCUCGCAGCGGUUCUGACGUGCAAAUCGAUUCGUCAAAACAUGCGCAAUGGGGCGAAAGACUAAUCGAACCUUCUAGUAGCUAGUUUCCGCCGA